rnacentral:rRNA from 1 species
CCUACGGGUGGCUGCAGUGAGGAAUAUUGGUCAAUGGCCGCAACUCUGAACCAGCCAAGUCGCGUGCAGGAUGAAUGCCCUAUGGGUUGUAAACCGCUUUUAUGUGGGGGCAAACUCACCCACGUGUGGCUUAUUGCGAGUACCUGAUGAAAAAGCAUCGGCUAAUUCCGUGCCAGCAGCCGCGGUAAUACGGAGGGUUCGGGCGUUAUCCGGAUUUAUUGGGUUUAAAGGGUGCGUAGGCGGGGUCUUAAGCGAGUGGGGAAAUCCGGGGGGCCAACCGUGGCACUGCGGUGGAAACUGGGGGUCUUGAGUGCGCGAGAGGUAGGCGGAAUGCGUGGUGGAGCGGUGAAAUGCAUAGAUAUCACGAAGAACUCCGAUUGCGAAGGCAGCAUACCGUAGCGUUACUGACGCUGAGGCACGAAGGUGCGGGUAUCGAACAGGAUUAGAUACCCGGGUAGUC